GACGAACGCUGGCGGCGUGCCUAAUACAUGCAAGUCGAACGCAGUGGGGACGGGUGAGUAACACGUGGGUAACCUCCCAUCAGAGGGGAGAACACUUGGAAACAGGUGCUAAACCGAUACUGAUGGAUGGACCCGGGGUGCAUUAGCUAGUUGGCGGGGUAAAGGCUCACCAAGGCCACGAUGAAUAGCCGAGCUGGGAGGGUGAUCGGCCACACUGGGACUGAGACAAGGGCCAGGAUCCUACGGGAGGCAGCAGUAGGGAAUCUGCGGAAAUGGACGAAAGUCUGAACGAGCAACGCCGCGUGAGUGAAGAAGGUUUUCGGAUCGUAAAACUCUGUUGUUAGAGAAGCGGUAUCUAGCCGGAAAGCCACGGCUAACUACGUGCCAGCAGCCGCGGUAAUAC
rnacentral:rRNA from 1 species